rnacentral:rRNA from 1 species
AGUGAACGCUGGCGGUAGGCCUAACACAUGCAAGUCGAACGGCAGCACAGUAAGAGCUUGCUCUUACGGGUGGCGAGUGGCGGACGGGUGAGGAAUACAUCGGAAUCUACUUUUUCGUGGGGGAUAACGUAGGGAAACUUACGCUAAUACCGCAUACGACCUACGGGUGAAAGCAGGGGAUCUUCGGACCUUGCGCGAUUGAAUGAGCCGAUGUCGGAUUAGCUAGUUGGCGGGGUAAAGGCCCACCAAGGCGACGAUCCGUAGCUGGUCUGAGAGGAUGGACAGGCACCCUGGAACUGAGACACGGGCCCCACCCCCGAGGGAGGGCGCAGUGGGGGAAUUUGGAAAAUGGGGCACAAGCCUGUCCCGGCCAGUCGCGUGGGGGAAAAAAGGCUUUCGGGUUGUAAACCCUUUUUGUUGGGAAAAAAAAGCGGCAGUUUAAAACCCCGCUUUUCUGCGUGGACCAAAAAAAAAAGCCCGGCUAAACUGGGU